rnacentral:rRNA from 1 species
CCUACGGGAGGCAGCAGUGAGGAAUAUUGGUCAAUGGACGAGAGUCUGAACCAGCCAAGUAGCGUGAAGGAUGACUGCCCUAUGGGUUGUAAACUUCUUUUAUAUGGGAAUAAAAUGUUCCACGUGUGGGAUUUUGUAUGUAACAUAGGAAUAAGGAUCGGCUAAACCCGUGCCAGCAGCCGCGGUAAUACGGAGGAUCGGAGCGUUAACCGGAUUUAUUGGGGUUAAAGGGAGCGUAGGUGGAUUGUUAAGUCAGUUGUGAAAGUUUGCGGUCCAACCGUCAAAUUGCAGUUGAAACUGGCAGUCUUGAGGACAGUAGAGGUGGGCGGAAUGCGUGGUGUAGCGGUGAAAUGCUUAGAUAUCACGAAGAACCCCGAUUGCGAAGGCAGCUCACUGGACUCCAACUGACACUGAGGCUCGAAAGUGUGGGUAUCAAACAGGAUUAGAUACCCUAGUAGUC